AUGUGCUUCUCCCUCCCUUGCCCCGAAGACCCCUUCAACGCACGCCACGGCAAGAAGCGCAAGACCAAAGACGCCGCCGACACCAAUGACGACCACAAGAAGAAAAGCAAGGGUUCCAAGAAGCAGGAGCGGGCCGGCGCGGGAGACUCCUUCACCGGCGCGGCGGCGCUAGGGGCGGUGGCGGCGAGGAGGGCGUGCCACGAGUGGGUGGUGGACCACUACAGCAACCCGCGCAACGUGGGGGCGUUCGACAAGGACAACGCCGACGUCGGCACCGGCCUCGUCUGCCCGCCCGCCUGCGAUGACGUCAUGAAGAUACAGAUCCGCGUCGACCAGGCCUCCGGUAGGAUCGUCGACGCCUGCUUCAAGACCUUCGGCUGUGGCUCCACCAUCGCAUCCUCCUCCGUUGAUGAUGUUUCGACCAUGAAGAUGAUCCUGCUGAAGUGCAUGUGGGGCAGGAUCAUCAAGCUCUCGUGCAUGCAGCGAGGAGCUGCUCUUCGCCUCGCCUCGCACAAGCGAUGUCGUCAGGUUGCAAGCAAAUAUUCGUGUCUACUCUUUCUCUAG
rnacentral:rRNA from 1 species